AACAAAAGACAAUGGGCAGGAGUUAGCAGAGCACGGCAGAGCUCGCAGAAGGAUGUCGGGGCAGACACUGAGAACACACGGGGCUCCCUUUAGAUGCUCAGCCUUAGGGCUUCCCUCAGCAACCACCAUCACCCAAACAGUGGAGAGUACUAAAUCUACAUCCGAAGCUCAAGUCUAGCUAUUCUCGUACCUGGGGAUAUAAAGGCCACACCCUUCUCAAACCUAAGCUCCAAUGGGCCAGCCCUUAGUUCCAGGUCAUUAUCAAACCCUCUCAAGGAGUCAGGCCUGGGGGCUGGGGGAAGGCCGGAGAGAUGGGUCAGAGGUUAGGAGCACUGACUGUUCUUCCAGAGGCCUGAGUUCAAUUUCCAGGAGCCACUUAUGUGGGUCACAACCACUAUGACGGGUUCCGAUGCCCUCUUCUGGUGUGUCUGAAGACAGUGUGUUCACAUAUAUAAAAUAAAUAAAUCUUAAAAAAAACAAAGUCAGGCCUGUCCCGACUUCACUGAGAGCCUUAGCAAGGCUGCCUACCGGCAUCUACUAGGUAGUGUUCUGACUUGGAAAACGACACUCAGAUUUAUUUGGGGUUAUUCUGUUUUUUAUGCCUUCUUAGUAAGGGUGUUUUGUUUUGUUUUCCUUUGAGACAGAGUCCUCCUGCUCUAUAGCUCAAGCUGACCUCAAACACUGUCUUGCUCCCUCGGCCUCCUGGGGACUGGGAUUGCGAGCAUGUCACACUGUCUGGCCACACCCUGAACUUGGGUCAGGACAGGGAUGCCUCUCACGGUACACCAGGUAAGAUCCAAAUGACAAUCCCACAUCGAAAACAUCAGCCAUGUGACCCUGAGUAUGUGAGUUUUCUAAGCUCAUUUUUCUCUCCUACACAUAGGGAGGCUAUGUCCCAAUACCACAAGAACAGCAAGACACCGCGAGGGGACGGGAUGUGUGCUCCUCUCCAGAAUGUGACUGCUCUCCAGGGUGGGACUCCAGUGAGGCUCCUCCCCUCUGACUGUACCUCGGGGUUACAGUCUGCCGCAGCCACCCAGGCUUCACCAGGAAGUCCCUCACCAGGAACUCUGCGAGCCUCUGAGGACACUCCUGGGAGCUGCCCAGCCUGGCAGGAGGCAAGCUAAGGGAGGGCAGAGUGCUGGCCCUCUGAGGCUGCAAUUAGCACCAACUUAUUAAACUUGCAGCAGGCCUAAGUCACCUGAUCCCUCCACUGGGCCUGGAAUUCCACCAUUUUCCAUAUUCCCAUGUUACACUAUGCAAAUGGAAGCUGAUGCAGGAGAAUGGACCCAAGGACCUACUCUUCUGAGUGGCACAACUUCUGUCACAAAGUCUUCUCUAGUAAAGAACUCAAAGCAGCACUCAUCCACGUGUGACAGCGUGACAGCAGCAAAGCUCCCAGGGCCACAGAAGUGAGGGGCUGUCCACCUUCUGCCUGUGUGGAUCUAGGCUGGGUCUCACCCGAGGGGCCUGCAGCCCUGUCAUCAGCAUCCCACCUGCAGCGCUGCUCCACUGUGCUGUUCAGCAGAGCCAGCUUUGGGAAGACCAGGUCACAACCGGGACGAACAGGAGUCCUUUGACAACCAAGGACUCAAUCCAUCUAUCCACUUGGGGAACUAAUGCUCGUGUCUUCCACGAAAGGGAGAUGUCACUAUACAACUCUUUCCUCCUCAGAGCUGCUGUGUACAGAGGCCUUUGUGACCAGAAUAAAUCCCUCCAAUAAGUAAGCAAACCCCUUAGAAUAGCUUUCAUUCCAAGAGAGGAUAGGCCACAGCUCCUGUCAAACCCCUAUUGAGUUUUUAAAGAAAAUACACAUUUUCCUUCCUUCCUGUGAUAUGCCAGUGUUCAAAACCUUGAUGCACGCCCAUCCCCAUCUGCAGGUUCAGGAGAAAACUGAAGUUAUUGCCACAGGUCUCCCCUAAGGUUUCACCAAUGGCUUGUCCCAGUGGGAGGGUUGGGAGGCCUUCUGGAGUAGCACAGACACCCAUGUUAGGAAGCACAGGACUGGGUGGGAUUUCCAAAGUCAAUCUAAUCUAGAAGUCACCAGGGUCAGUGAAUCAUCGAGAUGGAGGGAGGGUAGCCGCCUACAGGUCACGGUCAGGAUCUUCCUUGUUUCUGCACCCCUUAACACCACACUGAAAUAGCUAACUGCACUGGAGAGGGUUUGAUCAACCUUGGCAGACUCCCUCUGGAGCUGCCCUGUCAGGGCAGCCCAUACCUAACCCUACCCUAUCCAUCUGACCAGCAAGAUCAUCUGGACAGAAGGGGCUCCAAGAUACUCCAGGACAAUAGAUGGGUCUGCCCCUACCCACACAGUCCCUGCUCCGGUACCAGAUAGGCAGUGGCGUCCUGGACCUUCCUUUCCUGAGACCAGCACUCACCCGGACUUCUAGGAAUUUACAAUGAAAGGGAUACAUAGGAUUUAGCAAACACAUUAGGUUCAAAGGUUUUGUUUGGAAGGCCAGCAACACAGCUGUACUUAAGAGGCGGACCUGCCUUCCUCGUUUAUUCUUUUGGAGCUUGAGCAGAGAAAGCUUGCUGGUGUGGAGGAUACCGGGCUGGCGAGAAGCAUUAGGAGAGUGUAGACAGUAAGAACCCGAGGAGAAGCUGCCUCUCUGCCCACUGCCCAGCCACCCUGAGGGGCCACCCUCCUCCUGGCACCAUCUGACCCUCAAGCAAACUUCCCAGCCCCCCAUUUAUGAACAAGUUUUGUUCAAAGGCUGGGAAUUUGUCAGUCCCACCGCAGCCCAGGAACCCGCACAUGGGACACUCUGUUCUACCCAGGAAACUGAAGCUCAGAGAUUUUGGGCUCCUAACCCAGAACACACAGCCAGGUGAAAGAGCGGGGAUUCUGCUCAAGACUAAGUCUGAGGUGGUCUGAUGGAGCAUACAAAAUCUCAACCCUACCUAUGCUCUUCUGAAAACAAAAUGAAACAAACAAUACAAAAACACCAGGCAUGAACAUGAUGCGUCUACUGCCAGACAAGGCCUUCUCUCUUCCUUCUUGCAGUAGUGCCAGGAGCACUUGUUGUGCUCUCAUCACUGGGAACCCCACUGCACCUAAGGCUCUCUUGCGGCAGACUGUCAGCAUGUGAGAACUGAGAAGCAAUGAGGAGGAAGCCAGUGGGCUCCAGUGGGACCUUGCCACCAGCACAGCUUAUGGCUGGCAGUGGCCGAAGAGGAAGGGUGGUAACAUGAAACCUUUGCAGAGGCAACACCCCUGUUCUGUCGCCUUCACGUGAGGUCUGGGCCACGCAAAAGUGUCUGGAAUUGGCAAGGACUAUUGAAGGACCCUCAGCUUCUUCAACAAUGGUCUGCCUGGUCUCUGGUCAUGGGUCUCCACUAACAGCAUUGAGCUUCACUAUUGCUCUUCAUGUCUGUGUCGUCGAUUGGCCCACUGCUACUCUGGAACCCUUGGGAACCAAGGCAGCGGGAUGAGCCAGACCAAGACCACUUCAGGUGUGUAUGGCCUGUACCUUAUACCACUGGCAUCUGAUCCUGCAUAGCUGCGUCCUGUGCACUGACAGAUGGGCGUGGUUAACUUCUGCCCACUAGGAGCCAUAUCAAAUAGCCCUAAUUGUGACCAUUAACCUGAAGUUGACUGUGUGCCCUUUGAGGCAGAAUCCUGCCUGGCUGAGGGACUAGUUCCCUGCAAAGAAGAGAGACUGUGGACAGAUCAGUGCAGGUUACAGAGCGACCACACAACACCUCAGUGGUAACCAGAACCCACAUGUGCACGCACUUCCCAUGGAACAAACAAACAAACAACGAUUUAGAUGGGUGUGGGGGCACAUGCCUACUAUCCCACAACUUGAGAGGUGAAGGCCUGAGGUUCAAGAAUUCAAGGCUAUCUUUAGUUACAUAGAGAGUUUGGAGCUAGCCUGGGCUACAAGGCACUGUCUCAAAAAAAAAAAAAAGAAAAAAGAAAAGAAAAA
rnacentral:sRNA from 1 species